UACGAAGGGAGCUAGCGUUGUUCGGAAUCACUGGGCGUAAAGCGCACGUAGGCGGAUGUGUCAGUCAGGGGUGAAAUCCCGGAGCUCAACUUCGGAACUGCCUUUGAUACAGCACGUCUUGAGUCCGAUAGAGGUGGGUGGAAUUCCUAGUGUAGAGGUGAAAUUCGUAGAUAUUAGGAAGAACACCGGUGGCGAAGGCGGCCCACUGGGCAUCGGUGAUUGACGCUUGAGGCGCGAAAGACCCAGGGGGAGCAAACGGGGAU
rnacentral:rRNA from 1 species